UGCCACACCCGACCCCAAGGAGCACAGAGCCAUCGGGGUGGCCUCUGCCUUGAGCCAGGUCUGUAAGGAGUCCUUCACCAGCCUGCCGAGUUCCAGAAAUUCCAGGCCCAGAGAAGCUCAGGAACUUCCUAAGGUCACAGAGCCCAGAUCUGAAGAUCCAGUUGAGGCUGAGGGAGUGGACGGGCACCUAGAGAGUGCCAGGUGGGUACCUACUGCUUAAUAAAAUGUACCCAGCCUGGGUUCACAGGUUGGUGUGAGAGGUGGCCCCUACAGCAGAAAAGAAAGCUAUUUUUGCAGAAAGACAGAUGUGCCCCAGGCUAGGACUGGAAGAAAUGGGGGGCAGAAUGGGGAGGGGGUGAGGAGCCCUGAAUCAGGAGGACAGGGAGUUUCCUCAGAGGAGGGGGAUUGGGGCAGAAGCUCCGAGGACGGGGACACCGAGGACACCGGCUUGAACGGAUCUGGUGGAGGUGUGGGUUGAGGGAGAGCAGUGGGGUGGACUGGUGCCCUCAGCCUGAGGAGGCAACACAGGUGACACGACCCAGGUGUGUUUCUAAAGGUCCUGCUGGAAGCCAGAUGGAGGAGUGAGGGAAGAAGGAAGAGGCAGGGAGGCCAGCAAGGAGGCUGGGAGCCUUCCAGGAGGGGUGAAAGUGGCUGAGCGUGGCAGGGGAGGUGGCAAGAGUGGAGAUUCUAGUGCAGUGGAGGAAGCACUCACAGUUCCUGCUGAUGGAUAGGAGCGUGGGUGCUCAGAGAGAGUGGACUCAGGAUGGACCCCCAGGCUUCCGGGCCAUGGGGGAGUGGCUAAUUACUGUAGCCUAGGUUGGAGCCCUUGAGGGGGACAGUCAGGAGUUCAGUUUGGCCAAGUUAGCAGGUCAGACCCGCAGAGAUCCAUGGAGAUGUUAAUGGAGUUAAUGACUUAACCAGUGCCUAGGGAACAGCUGCUCCAGGUGCUAAGAGUGCCUUUUAUGUAUUAGCUCACUGAACCCCCUCCUCACCGCCUUGGGGAAGGUACCGUCAUGAUCCCCAUUACACUGAUGAGGAAGCUGAGGCUCAUCAGUGUUGCCUGUCAGGUGAGAAAGCCAGGCAGAACCUCCAAGAGCCUUCAGGAGGAGGCCUGCAGAGGAGGUCUGGACUCCCUCAAGGGGUUUCUUUCUCCUGAGUCAGAUGUCGGCGAGGUCAGGCAGGGAGACAAGUGUCCAGGAGGCUGAUCACAGAGUAGCUUGGGCUGCCCACAGGGAGUGAGGCACGGAGGUCCUGGGAGGCAGGGCGAAGAGGAGGUAGACAGCAAGCAGGACCAGGCUAUCCAGGCCUGCACCUGGCUGGGAGGGCGGGGAGACAGCCUUCUGUGACGGGGACUGAGGAUCCCAGGACACUGCCAUGCCCCCCUGGGGCCAGGGACUCCAGCGAUGUGCACCACAGACUCUGUGAUGUAAGAAUCUCCCUCUGAUAUGGCGGUCUGCACCCAAGUCCUCUGUGAGCUCUGACAGCUGCUCACCCCCUGUGGCAAUUCUCCCACAGAGAGAGGACAGGGUCCGGGAGGACAGGAGGGACGGUGUCUCUCAGCUCUCUGAGCUCAGAGUGUUCCCACAGGAACAAGGGCCUUGGUAGAGACGGAGAGGGCUACAGGGCAGUUCCCUGAUGCUCGGGAAGACUCUGAAGAUAAAGAAGGCCAAGACCGUGGUGCAAGAGUAGGAGAGCCCCCUGGCCACAGAACAGGAACUUUACACGUUGAUCACUCCAGAAGUUUAGAGGUGGGGAGGACGCAGCCACAGCUGAGCAAGGCAUCUGCCCAUGGGUACUCCAGGACACUCAGGCCUAGACCAAGGGGCUUACCCAAGGGCUAGUUCCAUCUGGUCACUUCCUUUUAUCACUGGCCCUACACUGACCCUCACUGUCACCACCCUUGGAAGCCAUCCGACUCCCCCCACACUGGCUUAGGGCUGUCCCUUGAAUUCCCACCCUAAUGUCUCGCCACAGCCUACUGUAAUUGUCUAAUGUGGCCACCUGGCCCCACAGAUUGAAGUCAAGGGCCAUGUCUGAUCCACGUUGGUGUCUCCAGUGCCCAGAACAGGUCUAGACAGACCGACGGCUUCCAUACGUUGGUCCAAUAGACUUCAGUUGAACGGAACCGCCUGCUCCCUGCUAAGGGCCACAGGUCUCGCUCCCUCUCUGACUUGGGAAGCAAAGUACCACAACUCAGGUUUGACAUUUCUCCCAAGUGACCAUAUGGGUGCAAAGUCUCAGGGGCCUGAAGGACAGGAAAUAAAAAAGAGACAUCGGGCUUUUUGAGCCUCCUUUUUUCAGAGGAGGACACAGAAACCCAGAACAAUAAAGGUUCGAAGCAUGGGCCACCGGCAGGCGGUGCAGCGCACUCAGAUGGCCACACCCUGCUGCCCAGCCCCCUUUGCCCCAGUGCCACAGCCCAGGUUUCCUUGUCUGCACAACAGGUUGGGCCUGCAGUCCCUGAAAGCUCCGCCAGUGUCCAGUUCCAGAAACUCAUGGGCUCUGGCCCAGUGUGGGAGGAGGGCCUUCAAGAGGCGGCUGGUCAUCUUGUGGUCCCCCAAGCUCCUGGAGCAAAACAUCCCGAGCAGCAGAGUGACUCACCCGUAGCACCCUCUGCCAGUUCUGGAGAAAAGGCAGACCAUGAAAUCCAUUCAGCAACUUUUAAAGAGCACAGAAACAAAUUUUGAGAUGCAAUUUCUUCUGCUUGGUGGAGAGAGGCUGAGGAAAUAGGGAUAUACAUAACUUUUCCUCCUUUAUUUCUUCCUUUCCUUUUUUUCUUUUAAUAUCUUUUUUGUAUUGGAGAUUGAACCCAGGGGUGGUUUACCACUGAGCUACAUCCCCAGCCCUUUUUAUUUAGAGACGGCCUCACUAAGUUGCUGAGGCUGGCCUCAAACUUGUGAUCCUCCUGCCUCAGACUCCUGAGUUGCUCAGAUGACAAGUGUGCACCAGUGCAACCAGACAUGUCAGUUGUUCUUGAUGCUAAUCCAGAUCAGAACUGCAGCUAUCAAGCACAGCAUGAGAAACUCGCAUGUGCUCCUCCUAUUCUGAGCAGAGGGAGGCUUGCUGAUGUGUUGGAGUUAGAUGUAAUGGGAUCCAAAACAAUGUGGAGGGAGGUAACAGGUGAGUCUGUCAAGGGAUGCUGGGUAACAUGGAACAGCAGGGUUGGCAAACUCCAGGAUUCCUAGAAAACCAAACUAGCAACACAAAGAGAUGGAAAAUGCAAUCUCUCAUGCCAAAUCACGGGGUAUGUAUGCCCCAAGUUUAUGGAUGUUAUACUCAACUCUAAAGUUAAUACUUUGGGGGCUGAGAUUGUAGCUGAAUGUAGAGCUCUUGCCUAGUAUAUGUGAGGCCCUGGAUUCUUACCCCAGCACCACAAAAAUAAAUAAGAAAUAAAAUUGAUAUUUUUGGUUUCUAACUUGCAGCUGGUCAAAAGUGGAAAUAAACUUGAUUUCCUUGACCAAAUAUGAUAAGAAAGCUCUGGAGAUUUGGGUUCUAGCUCAGCUCUGAUUCCAAAGAGCUCAACAGCAUCGAACAUGUCAACCCCCUACAAGAUUCAGUUUCUAAAAUCAGUUUGUAAAAUUAGGGAAGAGAAUGGGUUGGCCACAGGAGAACAGGUGACACUGAGACAUGGGCUUUGAAGUCACACUGCCUGGGUUCUAAUCUCAUUUUUCUAGCUAUAUAUCCUGAGGCGAGUCAUUUAAUGCUUUCAUUUUCUCAUCUCUGAAACAGACAAGAGUAUCUACCUAUGAGCCAGGAGUGGUGGCGUUUACCUAUAAUCCAUAAUCCCAGUGAUUUGUGAGGCUGAGGCAAGAGGGUCACAAGUUUGAGGCCAGCCUCAGCAACUUGGCAAGGCCCUGAUUCAAGAUAAAAAUAAAUAAAUAAAAAGCAUUUGGGUGGCCAGGUGUGUUGGCGCAUGCCUGUAAUUCCAGUGGCUCAAGAGACUGAGACAGGAGGAUCGUGAGUUCAAAGCCAGCCUCAGCAACAGCAAUGCACUAAGCAACCCAGUCAGACCCUGUCUCUAAAUAAAAUAAAAUAGGGUGGGGAUGUGGCUCAGUAGUAGAGUAUCCCUGGGUUCAAUCCCAGUACCCCCCCCCCCCACAAAAAAAAAAGAAAAAGUGUUUGGGUGUAGCUCAGUGGUAGAGUGCUCUUAGUUCAAUCUCCAGUAUAGCAAAAAAGAAAAAAUAAUCUACCUAUAAAAUUUGCUGACAAGAUAAAUGACACUAUGUACAAAAAACAUAAUUUAGGGCGGUCCACAGGGGGGAAAAAAAACGUGUUGUAGUAACUUACAUAUAAUGUGGCUCACAGGUACCUGUAACAGAUAACCACAGUAGCAGAAGCAGGAAACAAUGUAGCCAGGACAGAACACUCCCCCUUUAGGCUUAGUGCAGUAAAAGUCCCUAAAUUGUAUGAGCUAAGCAUCCCUAGGCUGUUGACAAACUUGUGCCCAUAUAAGGGAUGCAGAAUGCACCCUCCAAUAGACCUGUACCAACUCUCUUGCCUCAAUGUACCUCAGAUGUGCUUAUGUAUAAAAGUCAAACUCCUGCUGUGCUUGGGGCUCAGACUUUGGGAAUUAUCCCUCUGGGCCAUGGUACCACUAAUAAAGUUUUGCUUCUGGAUCUCAGUGUCCUGACCCUCAUUUCCUGCUACAAAACAGAUCUUAAGCAUUCAGUCAAUUUUGGUGGCUGCAUAUUGAAGAUAGAAUAUUUCAAUAACUCUAGAUAAAGUUUUCUCAUGUUCCUUUCUAAUCAAUCUCCAAUACUCAUGGGAUCUGCUUCUGUUACCACAGGAUGGUUUCCUCUAUUUCAGAUUCCACUUGAAUAGAAACAAAGAGUAUAUAUUGUAUUCAUGUAUGUUGGACUUAUUCCACUCACCAUAACAGGUUUUUAAAACAUUUUCUUAGUUGGACACAAUACCUUUAUUUUAUUUAUUUUUAUGUGGUGCUGAGAAUAGAACCUAGGGCCUCACAGGUGCUAGGCAAGUGCUCUGCCACUGAGCUACAACCCCAGCCCACUAUAACUGUUUUGUUAUUUAUUCAGAUUAUUGUAUCAGUAGAUCAUGUCUUUAUAGUGUAGAGUAUUUCGUUGUUUAAAUAUACUACAUUUUACCCACUCUAUUGUUGACGAGCAUCUGUUGUUUUUUGUUAGAGUCUGUAAACAAGUCAGGAUGGCACCUGGCAAAAUGCCAGAGGGAGUGGUUUGAGAAGUAACAAAAGUGAGCCAUUAAGUGUGGAGAUUCCUUAUUGGUUGACUGAUGUAUCUAGUUUAUGUUAAUUAGAUAGGCUGUGUGGAAUGUAUAAAUACUGCUCCUGUCCUGCAAUAAACGGCUCCCACUCCUGCUGUAUCAACGUACACAAGUUAUUCGUCACAUCCCCCCCCCCCCCCCCCCCCCGUUAUUUUGCUAGCCGGACUGCGGCAGAUGGUGGCCCGUACCGGGAGCCCCGGGACACUCGGGACACGGGGUAAGUGAUGAAAAAAAAAGCUGCCCGUCCAUAGAUAGGACGGGAGCAAUCUGCUCG
rnacentral:lncRNA from 1 species